ACUCCUACGGGAGGCAGCAGUGGGAAGUAUUGCACAAUGGGCGCAAGCCUGAUGCAGCCAUGCCGCGUGUAUGAAGAAGGCCUUCGGGUUGUAAAGUACUUUCAGCAGUGAGGAAGGCGGAGUCGUUAAUAGCGGCCUCGUUUGACGUUAGCUGCAGAAGAAGCACCGGCUAACUCCGUGCCAGCAGCCGCGGUAAUACGGAGGGUGCGAGCGUUAAUCGGAAUUACUGGGCGUAAAGCGCAUGCAGGUGGUUUGUUAAGUCAGAUGUGAAAGCCCGGGGCUCAACCUCGGAAUUGCAUUGAAACUGGCAGACUAGAGUACUGUAGAGGGGGGUAGAAUUUCAGGUGUAGCGGUGAAAUGCGUAGAGAUCUGAAGGAAUACCGGUGGCGAAGGCGGCCCCCUGGACAGAUACUGACACUCAGAUGCGAAAGCGUGGGG
rnacentral:rRNA from 1 species